GGGCUGUUUUGUCUUCAACAUAUGUUUUUGGCCCUUUGUUGAAAAUAAGAUGACUAUAGAUGUAUGGAUUUAUUUCUGAGUUCUGUGUUCUAUGGGUCUGUUUGUUUGCAAAUACCAUGCUGUUUAUUUUUAAUUUUUUAGUUGUAGGUGGACAUAAUAUCUUUAUUUUAUUUUAUUCUUACAGUGCUGAAGAUCGAACCCAGUGCCUCACGCAUGCUAGGCACAUGCUCCACCACUGAGCCACAACCCCAGCCCACCAUGCUGGCUUUUAAUUAUGGCUCUGUAGUAUAUUUUGAAAACAGGUAUAGUGAUGCUUCCAGCAUUUGAACUACACUUUUAUAAGUACAGUUCCAAGUUUAGCAUUGGGUUUGAAUAUGUUAAGAUAAUCAUUAGAAAAUGGAGAAAACCCUCAGGUACUGUAGUUUUUCUGCCCGGAAAAUGGGAUUCAUUGAUUGCCUGUGAGACAGGGUUGUCCAGUCAGUUAUUACUGCAUGGAUGAUGCUUAAGAUAUUUACAUUUCCAAGUCCAACCAUACUGCAGCCUGGAGGAGUUUAUGUAGAAGUUAAUUCUAAAGUUGAAAACCAAUUGAAAAUCUGAUGUCAUUAAAAUUAUAUUAAUAUUAUUCAAAGCAGAGGUAAACAAUUUGCUUGGUAUUCUUUCCAGUUUUAGAAGUCCAAUGUCUCAAUCUUGGGCUGUUUGAAGACUUUUAUUCCUAAGGUCCAGUUCAGAUGAAUUACUUUGCCUACAUUCCUUUAACUAAUCCAAGGCACAUAGCCCUUACGUUUGUUAUCAAGACUUUCCUGGGUUUAAUUCCUCUCCAUCACCCACAAAUACCCAUUCUAGUGUCUCUAAUUUCCAUUCUUCUUUUUUAAUGAGGAAAGAAUGCUAUAUUUUCUUAAUCUGGUAUAUAAAUAUAACAUUUUUCACUACUUCAGUCAUUAAAUUUAGUGUUGGAAAUCUUUUCUAAUUUCCUUCAUGAAGAUAUCCUUCUCGGUGUUGACUCACUUCCCUUGUGAAUUAGAGCUGUUUACUUUUUGGACCUGUUGCAAAAUCCUUGUCCUAUUUCAUUCCAUUAGACUUCUGGAUUCAUUACAUGAUUUUUUUUCAAAUAGCCCAUGUCUUUCUCUUUUUUGAUUUUAUCUCCUACAUCAACUCAGUUCACUGUCAGUUAAUAAGGUUGUAUGUGACAGAAAGUUCUUGAGGUUUUAAAUUCUUUCCUUAACUAAGGGUAGCUAGGUAUUGACUUGUGGAUGAAAGUAAUUUCCCUUGAAAUUUUAAAUAAUUGUUCUAUUGUAUUUCAGCAUGCAGUGAUACUGUUAAUGUGUUUAAUGUCAGACUAUCUUUGUUACACAUAGUUGAGUCACCCCCAGCUCUUCACUUUCCUAUUCCCCAAAAUUGUUCAUGGCUAAAGGGAGAUCUGAUGAUAUAUUUCUGGUAUUUUAUAAAGUAAAUCUUUUUUAAAACUAUAGUGUUGGAUCUUGGGUGAACCUCAAUCUAAAACACAAUUUUUCUUAGCUCUAGACAUUUUUUUCUAUUUUUUUAAAUCCUUUUUUUUUCAUGAGCACCUAGUCAGAUUCUGUAUUUAAUAGUUUAAUCCUUGUCUUAUUCUGUUUUCUGUUGCUGUAAGAGAAUACCUGAGACUGAGUAGUUGAUAAAGAAAAGAAGUUUAUUUUCCAUCACUUUUCUAGAAGCUGGAAAACUCAAGUAGUAACAUUUGGUGUAGGCUACACGCAACUUAAACUCAUGACAGAACAGAAGGGGAAGUAGACCCACAUGAAAGAUAUGAAAUGGGGGUCAAAUCUCAUGACACAUAACCCACGCCAUGGAGAAAAACAUUAAUCCAUUCUAAGGCUUUCACCACCAAGAUUAAAACACUUCCAAUUGGCCCUAUCCUUCAACACUGCCACAUUAAGGAGCUAGGCCUCAACGUAAGUUUUGGUGGAGAUAAAACAUCUCAAACUAUCAAUUCAUAGCAUGUAGUCUUUCUGUUAUAUUCUAGGAUUUGUUUUAUUUUUCUGUUAGCUAUGUGCUCUGGGAAAUUUGUCUUUUAAUCAUUCUACUUGACAUCAAUUUUUCAUUUGAGUUAUAAAUUACAUAAAAAUUUAACAUAUUUAAAGCAUAUAAUUGAAUAAAAUUUGUCAUGUAAAAUCAUCAUCACAAUAAAAAUUGUGAACAAAUUCAUCUCAACUCAAAAAGUUUACCUGUUCUUUUUUCUUUCUAACAUGUAUAACCCACUUCAUUCCUGUUCCAAGAAGAGAAUACUGUGCCUGCAACACGUAGUGCAGUAGAGAUAGAGAUUAAUUUAAUUUCUCUAAAAUUUUAUCUAAAUGAAAUAACAUGCUAUAUAAUUUUUUUUCACUUGUCACAGCAUAAAUAUUUUUAAAUCUGUCCAUUUUGUUGUGCAUAUAAAUAGCCAAUAUAUUUUCCUGCUAAGUAUUGUUCCUUUGUAUAUCUGUACCACUAUUUAUUUAUACAUUCAUCUGUUGAUAAAUAUUUGUAUUGUUUCUGCUUUUUGACUCUUACCCCUAAUGCUACUAUGAACAUCCAUGUAAAAGUCUUUACAUGCACGUAUGUUUAAUUUUUCUUGGGUAAAUACCUAAGAGUAUUAUGGUGUAUGUCUCACUUUUUAAGAAAAAACCAAUUGAUUUCCCAAAGUGAUUUCACCAUUGUACAUUUCACCAUUUGUGUAUAAAAAUUUCAGUUCCCCCAUAUACUCCCCAACAUUUGGAAUGCUCAGUCUUUUUAAUUUUGUUCAUUCUAAGUGUUAUUUCUGUUUGGGUUUAAUUUGCACUUUCUUAUUAACUACUGAUGUUGAGCAUCUUUUCUUG
rnacentral:lncRNA from 1 species